rnacentral:tRNA from 1 species
UGUAGUUCAGUGGUAGAACACUUGCCUAUUGCACAAAAAGCUCUGGAUUCAAUUCCCAGCA